rnacentral:rRNA from 1 species
GUACACUCCUACGGGAGGCAGCAGUGGGGAAUAUUGGACAAUGGGCGCAAGCCUGAUCCAGCCAUGCCGCGUGAGUGAUGAAGGCCCUAGGGUUGUAAAGCUCUUUCACCGGUGAAGAUAAUGACGGUAACCGGAGAAGAAGCCCCGGCUAACUUCGUGCCAGCAGCCGCGGUAAUACGAAGGGGGCUAGCGUUGUUCGGAUUUACUGGGCGUAAAGCGCACGUAGGCGGACUAUUAAGUCAGGGGUGAAAUCCCGGGGCUCAACCCCGGAACUGCCUUUGAUACUGGUAGUCUUGAGUUCGAGAGAGGUGAGUGGAAUUCCGAGUGUAGAGGUGAAAUUCGUAGAUAUUCGGAGGAACACCAGUGGCGAAGGCGGCUCACUGGCUCGAUACUGACGCUGAGGUGCGAAAGCGUGGGGAGCAAACAGGAUUAGAUACCCCGGUAGUCCCAUGA